AUACGGAGGGUGCAAGCGUUACUCGGAAUCACUGGGCGUAAAGGAUUGCGUAGGCUGUAAUAUAAGUCAGAAGUGAAAUCCAACGGCUUAACCGUUGAACUGCUUUUGAAACUGUUUUACUAGAAUAUGGGAGAGGUAGAUGGAAUUGGUGGUGUAGGGGUAAAAUCCGUAGAUAUCACCAGGAAUACCGAUUGCGAAGGCGAUCUACUGGAACAUUAUUGACGCUGAGGCAUGAAAGCGUGGGGAGC
rnacentral:rRNA from 1 species